UGGGGAAUUUUGGACAAUGGGGGCAACCCUGAUCCAGCCAUGCCGCGUGAGUGAAGAAGGCCUUCGGGUUGUAAAGCUCUUUCGGCCGGGAAGAAAUCGCAUAGGUUAAUACCCUGUGUGGAUGACGGUACCGGAAUAAGAAGCACCGGCUAACUACGUGCCAGCAGCCGCGGUAAUACGUAGGGUGCGAGCGUUAAUCGGAAUUACUGGGCGUAAAGCGUGCGCAGGCGGUUUCGUAAGACAGAGGUGAAAUCCCCGGGCUCAACCUGGGAACUGCCUUUGUGACUGCGAAGCUAGAGUACGGCAGAGGGGGGUGGAAUUCCACGUGUAGCAGUGAAAUGCGUAGAGAUGUGGAGGAACACCGAUGGCGAAGGCAGCCCCCUGGGCCGAUACUGACGCUCAUGCACGAAAGCGUGGGUAGCAAACAGG
rnacentral:rRNA from 1 species